ACAGUUUUAUACACAUAGAGGCUACAGACAUAUUCUCCUGCUGUUAAGAAACUUGAAAACUAGGUCUGCGGAUGUGUUUGACCAUUAAAUCCUGGCCCCGGAGCGGUUCUGGAAAUGCCUAACAAAGCUCAAGAGGAUGCUGUGAUCAACCUAAAGACGCUGCAGGAGAUAUCCAGGCAGCUGGGUUUUGAGUGGACUGUUCUGGCUUCUGAACUGGGUUUCAGCAGAGCUGAAAUAGGCCGGUUUCACACCAGAUCGACAGAGAGGAGCGUGCAGACCAGGCUCAUGUUGGAAAGCUGGUACUCUGUGUGAUUUUAUGUGCAGGUAUGAGAGGUCAUGGGACAAACCCAAUAAGACCAAAGUGCUCCAAGAUGGAUUGGAUCGGGCGGGACGGCGUGACCUUGCAGAGAAGCUGCGCUGCCUCCACUGGGGUCACCAAAAGCUGAGCAAGAAGGUGGAGCUGCCCUCAGCCUUCCCUUUCAUCAUCACAGUCCAUAAGACCAUCAGUAACCACGACGCCCUGCGCAGAAUCAACGACCUCAGCCGCAGAUUCACUUAAAGAACGUCCAAAGUGCACGCAUGCGGAUCUGGUCCGAUUCAAUAACUUUAU